AGUGCUCAUUUAUACAAUAUAUUCAUCUAAGACAGUUUUCAAGGAAAUGUAGGAAAAAAUUAUGAGUGAAUAAAAGGCUACAGUAAUUUGAAAUCUAAAUAUUGCAGAUUGAUAUUUGUCACUCUGUUUUGGCUAUGGCAUGAAUGAAAUUGUUUAUAGACUAGUCAUAAACUCUAGACACAUUGGCUUUAACUCCACUUCUUUCUCACUCAAGAACACACAUCAGAAACCGAAGCUGGUGGGAGUGAUCAUGCUGUCCAGCAUCAUGAUUUGCAUACAGGAAGAAUGAGCGAUCUUUAAAAGACUGAGCUCUGGGGUCUGAGAAUAGUUGUGAGGAUUAAAUGAAAGAAAAUAUAUACAGAACAUUCUUAGCAUAGGGUGGCACAUAGUAAGUCCUAAAUGAAUAUUACCAAUUGUUACUGUUAGCGUUGAUACUAUUGGAUCAAACAAAAGUAAACCUUUGAUAAACUUCAUUUUAUGAUCCAUGUAUCAGACUGAGCCCUUUUGAUAACAAGUUACAGAAACUCAGAGCUAGAUUAGGCAAAAAGAGAGAAAUUAUUGGUCUGUGAACCAAAAUACAGAAAAGGUAGCAUGGGUUGGCCUUGAGAAUGAUAUCCAUCAGGGGCUCAAACACACCAAGGGCCCUCUCUGUCUCUCUCCUGUCUGCAUCACCUGCAUUCUCUUAAACAACAAGCCGAGCUUCUUUCAUUGAUCAGGGCACACAGGCAUCAAGUGUUUCUAAUUUUACAGCCUCACCUCUUUGUAACCACAGAGAUGAUUGGAUUAAAACGCUCUGGAGAUAGUGAUGGCGCAGUCUGGGUCAUUGCUCUUCAAGGGAACAAUUUCUCUGGCUAGAGAAGAACCCCUUCCCCCUCCACCCACCACACUUGGCAGCAGCACCAAUCCACCAUGACUUUUGCUGAGGAUUUACAUCCUUUUAAGGAAUGGAGGUCAUGCGCUUGAGUACCUGCUCUCUCAACUGUGCAUGAUCACAGCCCAAAGAGCCACUUGUCCAGGAUGCACAGAUGGACAGGGAUGCUGGAGAUCACCUGAAUCACAUGGGACUUUGAACCAGAUAAACCUCCAGGGCUGCUGCCAAUGCUAAGAGGUGCUGCUUCCCCAGCAUCACCUGAGGCUGUGAGCUCCUGGAAUACGAAAGAUGUGCCUUGGCCCAUUCGUGGCUUCCCAGCUCUAGUCUCCAAUGACGGUCUCGAAGAUGCUGUGAUGAUGACAGAGAGACAGAGAGAAACAACAACAGCAGCAACUCCAUGUCUUGAAUACUCUUACUGGAAACUGUUUUCAAUUCCUCGCCUCCAUCACCUGGAUUCAUCCCCACCAUGAGCUUAUGAGGGAAGAGCGCCAUGGGCAUAGCCAGCUUGAAGUCUGUCUCUGAACAAGGCUCCUGACUUCCCCAGAGGACAUUUCUAAACUGGUUCCUACAGAGGUUUUUUUUGUUUGUUUUUGUUUUUUUGGUUCCUACAGAGUUUGAAAUGAAACUUGCCUCUUCUUAAAUCUCAGGUUGAUAAUUCCCACUCAAGAAGGUAAGCCUCUACUUCUAAAACAGCCUGCAGUUCUUUAAUUUCACUUUGCCAAUUCCCAACAGCCUUUGACUCACAGUGUUAGGAUAAAAGCAAGAGGGGGGAAAAAAACCCACAAUCUAAGGGGAGAAGAAAAAAAACUUGUAAAGAUGCUACAAGCCUAGGGAAAAAAGUUUUCUCCUUCCAUAAAGCGUGUAAAUAUCACCCUAUAAAAGGGUUCUAUAGGAGGCCUCUUUGUAAGAAGAAAAAUGGAGGUGACCAUAGCUUACCUUAACCCCCACUUGCACAUGAGGGCAUUUCUACAUGUAACAAGAAGUCACUUAAUGAAAGCGUGCUAUGAGAGAAAGGGUUAACACCCGGCCAGCUGAAGCUGGGCCUGGGGGAUGGGAGGGUGGGCUCAUUUUCCUCAAUUAUAAAAUAAGGGUAUUGAACUAGAUGCCUAGGAAGAAAAAGGCCCCUUCUGGCACUAGAAUCCUUGUACCAGGAUCAGUUUCUCCUAUACUAAGAGGGCCUGCUAACCAUCUUUUGUUGAAGAGGGCGGGGACACAAGAACAGCUGACAAUAGGACAGAGCCCCAACCAGAAGGGCUGUCCUGUAGGAGGAUGGCUCUACCAGUUCAAGGAUCCCACAGGUUGCCCUUUUCUUGGAUGUCUGCUCCACACUUCAAUCCACAGCCAUUUGUGAUUCCCCUCCCAGGAAUGGCGAUGGUUCUGAUUUACCAGACCUACCCUCCCACAUUUUAAAAAAUGAAUAACUUGAGGAGUGUGCUGGUGGUUGGCAGGAGGAUCCAGAAAGUUCCUGUGGGGGUGUUACAUCUAUCUAGCUUGAAUUAACAAGGCAGCAAGCAUGAAGGGAGUGGAGAGAGAUGAGGAGAGCAGACAGAUUGUAGGGAGUGAUUUGAGGAUUAACACUGAUAAUACAGAAAAUGCUGUGUCUCUGGAUAGGAGACUUGGAGAUAACAAGGCAGCUUCAGGAAGAGAGAUAAACCAUCCUCUGAAGCCAGAGGAAAAUAAAACACUGUCCUGUGAGUAUAUAGAAGGGAAAAAGGGGGGGGGGGGCUUUUAUACAAAACACAAUAAUGCUGCUAUUUCCUAAGUCCAGCUUGAGCUUUUCCCUUUUUUGCCCCAGAAUCAAAACCUGGUAGAAAGCUCUAAGUUAACUGAUCACUGCAGGGAAACCAACAGCUUGACAAGUCUUGACAAGUGCUCUUGGUAACAGCCUGAGGGUAGAGUCACCCUGGGUGGGAUACUGCUGGUCCAGUUGCAUGUCUCUCCCUGGGAGGGUACUCCUACUCCCAUCCUCAGCCUCUUAAAAAAUGGUAUCUUUCCUAUACAUCUUUUCACAGCACAGAAACAAACACAAGCCAGAGACAAAAGCUUGAAGGCAAGGGCAGCACGAUGAAAAAUGAGAACGUUUCCAAAAUGAAGAGUGGGCCCUUCAUGAGGCCCUGUGUGCUGCUGCGAGCCAAGCCACCCAGCAGCAGCUUUCUGCCUUGCCCAAGGACACCUGAGGAUCCCAGGGCAAGGCCCUCCCAGGCCCUCAGUGGGCUUGAUGAUAGGACCUAGGUGGGAUCUCUCCUCUGAGGCUGUCAGGAAGAUCCACUCUGCCCACUUUCCAUCAACCCAGACAGUGCCACACAGCUGAGGACCAGAGAGCAUACUUACAGGGAACAAU